UCCUACCCGCGGUAGGUGUCAAAUAUUCCCCGAAGGAGAACUGGAUUUAGUAUUGCACUCGUGAACAAUCACCUGAGGAUCUUGCGUUCACAACUCCCUGCGCAAGGCUU
rnacentral:snRNA from 1 species